AACGAACGCUGGCGGCAUGCCUAACACAUGCAAGUCGAACGAGACCUUCGGGUCUAGUGGCGCACGGGUGCGUAACGCGUGGGAAUCUGCCCCUUGGUUCGGAAUAACAGUUAGAAAUGACUGCUAAUACCGGAUGAUGACGAAAGUCCAAAGAUUUAUCGCCGAGGGAUGAGCCCGCGUAGGAUUAGCCUAGUUGGUGAGGUAAAGGCUCACCAAGGCGACGAUCCUUAGCUGGUCUGAGAGGAUGAUCAGCCACACUGGGACUGAGACACGGCCCAGACUCCUACGGAGGCAGCAGUGGGGAAUAUUGGACAAUGGCGAAAGCCUGAUCCCAGCAAUGCCGCGUGAGUGAUGAAGGCCUUAGGGUCUAAAGCUCUUUACCAGGGAUGAUAAUGACAGUACCUGGAGGAUAAGCU
rnacentral:rRNA from 1 species